rnacentral:rRNA from 2 species
UGCCGCGUGUGUGAAGAAGGCCUUCGGGUUGUAAAGCACUUUUGUCCGGAAAGAAAUCCUUGGCUCUAAUACAGUCGGGGGAUGACGGUACCGGAAGAAUAAGCACCGGCUAACUACGUGCCAGCAGCCGCGGUAAUACGUAGGGUGCGAGCGUUAAUCGGAAUUACUGGGCGUAAAGCGUGCGCAGGCGGUUUGCUAAGACCGAUGUGAAAUCCCCGGGCUCAACCUGGGAACUGCAUUGGUGACUGGCAGGCUAGAGUAUGGCAGAGGGGGGUAGAAUUCCACGUGUAGCAGUGAAAUGCGUAGAGAUGUGGAGGAAUACCGAUGGCGAAGGCAGCCCCCUGGGCCAAUACUGACGCUCAUGCACGAAAGCGUGGGGAGCAAACAGGAUUAGAUACCCUGGUAGUCCACGCCCUAAACGAUGUCAACUAGUUGUUGGGGAUUCAUUUCCUUAGUAACGUAGCUAACGCGUGAAGUUGACCGCCUGGGGAGUACGGUCGCAAGAUUAAAACUCAAAGGAAUUGACGGGGACCCGCACAAGCGGUGGAUGAUGUGGAUUAAUUCGAUGCAACGCGAAAAACCUUACCUACCCUUGACAUGGUCGGAAUCCUGCUG